rnacentral:rRNA from 1 species
GGGCUGGAGGGAAUUUUGGACAAUGGGGGCAACCCUGAUCCAGCAAUGCCGCGUGAGUGAAGAAGGCUUCGGGUUGUAAAGCUCUUUUGUCAGGGAAGAAACAGCAGCUCUAACACAGUCUGCGAAUGACGGUACCUGAAGAAUAAGCACCGGCUAACUACUAGCCCCCCCGCGGAAAUUAAAAA